rnacentral:rRNA from 1 species
AACGAACGCUGGCGGCGUGCCUAACACAUGCAAGUCGAACGGAGAUAGGAAGCUUGCUUCUUAUUUUAGUGGCGCACGGGUGAGUAACGCGUGGAUAAUCUACCUGAUGCUCUGGGAUAACAUCUCGAAAGGGGUGCUAAUACCGGAUAAGCCCACGAGACCUUCGGAUCAUGCGGGAAAAGGAGGGGACCUUCGGGCCUUCCGACAUCAGAUGAGUCCGCGUCCCAUUAGCUAGUUGGCGGGGUAAUGGCCCACCAAGGCUACGAUGGGUAGCUGGUCUGAGAGGAUGAUCAGCCACACUGGAACUGAGACACGGUCCAGACUCCUACGGGAGGCAGCAGUGGGGAAUUUUGCGCAAUGGGGGAAACCCUGACGCGGCAACGCCGCGUGAGUGAUGAAGGCUUUCGGGUCGUAAAGCUCUGUCAGAAGGGAAGAAAUGUAGGUGGCUAAUAUCCAUUCUACUUGACGGUACCUUCAAAGGAAGCACCGGCUAACUCCGUGCCAGCCGCCGCCGUAAGAC